rnacentral:rRNA from 1 species
AUUGAACGCUGGCGGCAGGCUUAACACAUGCAAGUCGAACGGAGUGGCGGACGGGUGAGUAAUGCUUGGGAAUCUCGCUUAUGGAGGGGGAUAACUACGGGAAACUGUAGCAAAUCCCGCGUACAAUAGGAUGAGCCCACGUGGGAUUAGGUAGUUGGUGGGGUAACGGCUCACCAAGCCGCCGAUCUCUAGCUGGUCUGCGAGGUUGACCAGCCACACGGGGACUGAGACACGGCCCAGACUCCUACGGGAGGCAGCAGUGGGGAAUAUUGGACAAGGGGCGAAAGCCUGAUGCAGCCAUGCCGCGUGUGUGAAGAAGGUCUUCGGAUUGUAAAGCACUUUAAGUUGGGAGGCGUUACCAACAGAAUAAGCACCGGCUAACUUCGUGCCAGCAGCCGCGGUAAUAC